rnacentral:rRNA from 1 species
UUUCCAGACUCCUACGGGAGGCAGCAGUGGGGGAUAUUGCACAAUGGGGGGAACCCUGAUGCAGCGACGCCGCGUGGGUGAAGGAGUAUUUCGGUAUGUAAAGCCCUAUCGGCAGGGAAGAAGGAGGACGGUACCUGACUAAGAAGCCCCGGCUAACUACGUGCCAGCAGCCGCGGUAAUACGUAGGGGGCAAGCGUUAUCCGGAUUUACUGGGUGUAAAGGGAGCGUAGACGGCUAUGCAAGUCUGGAGUGAAAGGCGGGGGCCCAACCCCCGGACUGCUCUGGAAACUGUAGAGCUAGAGUGCAGGAGAGGUAAGUGGAAUUCCUAGUGUAGCGGUGAAAUGCGUAGAUAUUAGGAGGAACACCAGUGGCGAAGGCGGCUUACUGGACUGUAACUGACGUUGAGGCUCGAAAGCGUGGGGAGCAAACAGGAUUAGAUACCCUAGUAU